rnacentral:tRNA from 1 species
GGGCGAGUGGCGGAAUUGGCAGACGCGCAGGAUUCAGGUUCCUGUCCGGGCAACCGGGUGGAGGUUCAAGUCCUCUCUCGCCCA